rnacentral:lncRNA from 1 species
CCGAGGUGCGGGUUUGGCCAAUUUCAGGAUUUUUGAGUUAAUUUGGUUGUUUUUCGCUUGAGCUUUGUUCCUUUAGCGUAUUUUAAUGGUAUGAUACUGAUUUUUGUUAGAUUUGGAGCAUCCGGAGGCCCAGUCGAGAGGCAAAGGUAUCUCGGGCUAGAGUUUGGACCGGUUUGAGGUAAGUAAUGAUUGCAAAUGUUGUCCUACGGGUAUGAAACCCCAGAUUUCACAUUGUUUUAUUACUUUGAGGUGACACACUCACUAGAUGACGAGCGUGGGAUCGUGUACCAUUGGGAAUUAUGAUUUAGUCCAUCUCGUACGACUAUUAGGUCGCG